rnacentral:misc_RNA from 1 species
CUGGAGCACAGCUGCUAUGCCUUGCUCCCACAUGCUCGGGAGUUUUAGGAGAGUGGCAUUUU